rnacentral:rRNA from 1 species
UACGUAGGCAGCAAGCGUUGUUCGGAAUUACUGGGCGUAAAGAGUGUGUAGGCGGUGCUCUAAGUUCGGUGUGAAAUCUCCCGGCUUAACUGGGAGGGUGCGCCGGAAACUGGAGUGCUUGAGCGCGGGAGAGGAAAGCGGAAUUCCUGGUGUAGCGGUGAAAUGCGUAGAUAUCUGGAGGAACACCGGUGGCGAAGGCGGCAUCCUGGACCGGCAUUGACGCUGAGGCGCGAAAGCCAGGGGAGCAAACGGG